UACGUAGGGUGGCGAGCGUUUGUCCGGAUUUACUGGGCGUAAAGAGCGCGCAGGCGGCUGGUCAAGUCCGAUGUGAAAGCUCCCGGCUUAACUGGGAAAUUGCAUCGGAAACUGAUCGGCUGGAAGGUGGGAGAGGGUAGCGGAAUUCCCGGUGUAGUGGUGAAAUGCGUAGAUAUCGGGAGGAACACCAGUGGCGAAAGCGGCUACCUGGCC
rnacentral:rRNA from 1 species